rnacentral:rRNA from 1 species
UACGUAGGGUGCAAGCGUUAUCCGGAAUUAUUGGGCGUAAAGAGCUCGUAGGCGGUUCGUCGUCGCGUGCUGUGAAAACUGAGGCUACCUACGUCAGCCUGCAGUGGGUACGGGCAGACUAGAGUGCGGUAGGGGAGACUGGAAUUCCUGGUGUAGCGGUGAAAUGCGCAGAUAUCAGGAGGAACACCGGUGGCGAAGGCGGGUCUCUGGGCCGUAACUGACGCUGGAGGAGCGGAAAGCAUGGGGAGCGAACAGG